UACGAAGGGGGCUAGCGUUGCUCGGAAUUACUGGGCGUAAAGGGAGCGUAGGCGGAUAGUUUAGUCAGAGGUGAAAGCCCAGGGCUCAACCUUGGAAUUGCCUUUGAUACUGGCUAUCUUGAGUACGGAAGAGGUAUGUGGAACUCCGAGUGUAGAGGUGAAAUUCGUAGAUAUUCGGAAGAACACCAGUGGCGAAGGCGACAUACUGGUCCGUUACUGACGCUGAGGCUCGAAAGCGUGGGAGCAAACGGG
rnacentral:rRNA from 1 species